AUGGCAACUGCCGAUGAUCUCAAGAAGCUUGAGGAGGAACUCAAGAACCGCGAGUCCAUCAUCCGGACCCGCGAGGAUGAACUACAACGCCAAGCUGAAGAACGGGGGAAGGCUGUCGUCCUCCCUGCGGCCUCCACGUACGCCGCUUCCAUCAAGACCUUCGUCCCCAUCACCCUUGAUCUCCACGACUCCAACUACGCCAAGUGGCGUGAGCUAUUCCUCGUCGCUCUUGGUCGCUACGGUCUCUCCAAUCAUGUUCUCUCAGAGAAUACCCCAACGGACACCUCCCACACCUCUGAUUGGGGUCGCGAUGACUUCACUGUCCUCUCAUGGAUUUAUGGAUCGAUUUCUCUCGAGCUCUUCGGCGUCAUCAUGAAACCAGGUUCCACCGCAAAGCAAGUUUGGGACGCCAUCGCCAACCUAUUCCGAGACAACAAGAAGAGUCGUGCUCUGGCUCUCGAUGCAGAAUUUCGCAACACAACUCAAGGGGACAUGACGAUCUCCGCCUAUUGUGCCAAGCUUAAGACUCUCUCUGAUGCACUUGAUGAUGUCGAGCAGCCGGUCACCGACGAGACCCUCGUGCUGACCUUGCUUCGCGGCCUCAACGAACAGUACUCACACCUGCGUUCGUUCCUUCCGUUCCAAGUGCCGUUUCCAUCCUUCCUUCAGACACGGUCCGCGCUUGUUCUUGAGGAAGCCCAGAAAAAGACCGAUGCAAAGAAUUCUGCCUCCACUGCUCUUUGGGCCAGCGGCAACAGUGUGCUUCCCGGCGCUGGUGGCGAACGCACUCCACCGCCGAACGAUGGGCGCUCCUUCUCCACUGAUCGCCGCGGCCCAGCACCACUACCUUCUCCAGGAGGCCGCGGAGGAAGCAAUAGUGGCCGCGGCCGUGGCCGUGGCGGGCGUGGUCGUCGCGAUACACCAUGGAUGUACAAUCCAUGGACUGGACAGCCGACGCGUCUCCAUCAGCAACAGAUGCCGUCGCCUCAUUAUCAUCAACCACCAGCAUCGUCGCCCACUUGGUCGCCUCGUCCAUGGCGCCCUACAGCUCCUGGGGUACUCGGUCCACGCCCUACCACACCGUCCCCACAAGCGUAUGCAACAUAUGGUCAUGGUCCUGCGGCUCCUUACAACCCUCCAGCGCAUUACAACAACUUCCAGCAACAUGUAGACCCAGCGCUCCUCACCGCGCUCAACAACAUGCAGCUCCCCGGCAACCAGGAGUGGUUCAUGGACUCCGGCGCAUCGUCCCAUAUGGCAUCUGAUCCUGGCACUUCCUACUCGGACCGAGAUACUUCGAUGCAAUAG
rnacentral:rRNA from 1 species